UUUGGUAUUUAAAAGGUGGAUAUUCCUUCUAUGUUUAUGUUAUUGAUGGUUAAACAUAGAGGAAAUUCCACGUUUUCAGUAUCAAA
rnacentral:pre_miRNA from 1 species